GAAACUAUAGUCAUAUUAAUAAUGAUAUAUAAUUUGCACUUAUAAGGAGGUUAAACUAGUUUCG
rnacentral:tRNA from 1 species